GUUGGUGGAUCAACUAUUAAGACUAUAACCCUGAAGCUACUAAUGAUGCCCUAUGAAGCUACACCUAAUAAAGGUCAGGAGCCUGAGGCUCAGGAAGGGCCACAGGCUUGCCCAGCAGUGGCAGCGCCCGAGAGAGAAACUUAGUGGGGAGUUUGGGGAUUGUUCACCCACUGCUUGGGAUUGUACACUCCUCAUGAUGAAGAG
rnacentral:lncRNA from 1 species